ACGUACGCUGGCGGCACGCCUAACACAUGCAAGUCGAACGAAGUAGCAAUACUUAGUGGCAGACGGGUGAGUAACAUGUAGGUAUCUGCCCUAUGGCCUGGAAUAACACGAGGAAACUUGUGCUAAUACCGGAUAAGUCUUUACAGAGAAAGCUUUAUGCACCAUUGGAUGAGCCUGCACUUGAUUAGUUUGUUGGUGGGGUAAUGGCCUACCAAGACUGUGAUCAAUAGCUGAUUUGAGAGGAUGAUCAGCCACAUUGGGACUGAGACACGGCCCAAACUCCUACGGGAGGCAGCAGUGGGGAAUCUUGCACAAUGGAGGAAACUCUGAUGCAGCGAUGCCGCGUGAGUGAAGAAGGCCUUUGGGUUGUAAAGCUCUUUCGUCGGGGAAGAAAAUGACUGUACCCGAAUAAGAAGGUCCGGCUAACUUCGUGCCAGCAGCCGCGGUAAUACGAAGGGACCUAGCGUAGUUCGGAAUUACUGGGCUUAAAGAGUUCGUAGGUGGUUGAAAAAGUUGGUGGUGAAAUCCCAGAGCUUAACUCUGGAACUGCCAUCAAAACUUUUCAGCUAGAGUUUGAUAGAGGAAAGCAGAAUUUCUAGUGUAGAGGUGAAAUUCGUAGAUAUUAGAAAGAAUACCAAUUGCGAAGGCAGCUUUCUGGAUCAUUACUGACACUGAGGAACGAAAGCAUGGGUAGCGAAGAGGAUUAGAUACCCUCGUAGUCCAUGCCGUAAACGAUGUGUGUUAGACGUUGGAAAUUUAUUUUCAGUGUCGCAGCGAAAGCGAUAAACACACCGCCUGGGGAGUACGACCGCAAGGUUAAAACUCAAAUGAAUUGACGGGGACCCGCACAAGUAGUGGAGCAUGUGGUUUAAUUCGAAGAUACGCGCAGAACCUUACCAACACUUGACAUGUUCGUCGCGACUUUAAGAGAUUAAAGUUUUCGGUUCGGCCGGACGAAACACAGGUGCUGCAUGGCUGUCGUCAGCUCGUGUCGUGAGAUGUUGGGUUAAGUCCCGCAACGAGCGCAACCCUCACUUUUAGUUGCCAUCAUUUAGUUGGGCACUCUGAAAGAACUGCCAGUGAUAAGCUGGAGGAAGGUGGGGAUGACGUCAAGUCCUCAUGGCCCUUACGUGUUGGGCUACACACGUGCUACAAUGGUAUCUACAACAGGAAGCAAGACGGCGACGUUAAGCAAAUCCCUAAAAGAUACCUCAGUUCGGAUUGCACUCUGCAACUCGAGUGCAUGAAGCUGGAAUUACUAGUAAUCGUGGAUCAGCGUGCCACGGUGAAUGCGUUCCCGGGUCUUGUACACACCGCCCGUCAAG
rnacentral:rRNA from 1 species